UACAGAGGUCCCAAGCGUUGUUCGGAUUCACUGGGCGUAAAGGGUGCGUAGGCGGUUGGGUAAGUCUGAUGUGAAAUCUCACAGCUUAACUGUGAAACUGCAUUGGAUACUAUCCGGCUAGAGGAAUGGAGGGGAGACUGGAAUACUUGGUGUAGCAGUGAAAUGCGUAGAUAUCAAGUGGAACACCAGUGGCGAAGGCGAGUCUCUGGACAUUUCCUGACGUUGAGGCACGAAAGCCAGGGGAGCAAACGGG
rnacentral:rRNA from 1 species